AUUGAACGCUGGCGGCAUGCCUUACACAUGCAAGUCGAACGGUAACAGGUCUUCGGAUGCUGACGAGUGGCGAACGGGUGAGUAAUACAUCGGAACGUGCCCAGACGUGGGGGAUAACGAGGCGAAAGCUUUGCUAAUACCGCAUACGAGCUAAGGAUGAAAGCAGGGGACCGCAAGGCCUUGUGCGGUUGGAGCGGCCGAUGGCAGAUUAGGUAGUUGGUGGGAUAAAAGCUUACCAAGCCGACGAUCUGUAGCUGGUCUGAGAGGACGACCAGCCACACUGGGACUGAGACACGGCCCAGACUCCUACGGGAGGCAGCAGUGGGGAAUUUUGGACAAUGGGCGAAAGCCUGAUCCAGCAAUGCCGCGUGCAGGAUGAAGGCCUUCGGGUUGUAAACUGCUUUUGUACGGAACGAAAAGGCUCUGGCUAAUACCUGGGGCACAUGACGGUACCGUAAGAAUAAGCACCGGCUAACUACGUG
rnacentral:rRNA from 1 species